rnacentral:rRNA from 1 species
UACAGAGGUCCCAAGCGUUGUUCGGAUUCACUGGGCGUAAAGGGUGCGUAGGCGGUCGGGUAAGUCUGAUGUGAAAUCUCACAGCUUAACUGUGAAACUGCAUUGGAUACUAUCCGGCUCGAGGAAUGGAGGGGAGACUGGAAUACUUGGUGUAGCAGUGAAAUGCGUAGAUAUCAAGUGGAACACCAGUGGCGAAGGCGAGUUUCUGGACGGGUACUGACGCUGAGGCACGAAGGCCAGGGGAGCAAACGGG